GACGAACGCUGGCGGCGUGCUUAACACAUGCAAGUCGAGCGGAAAGGCCCUGCUUUUGUGGGGUGCUCGCGUGGCGAACGGGUGUGUAACACGUGAGUAACCUGCCCUUGACUUUGGGAUAACUUCAGGCAACUGGGGCUAAUACCGGAUAGGAGCUCCUGCUGCAUGGUGGGGGUUGGACAGUUUCGGCGGUUGGGGAUGGACUGGCGGCUUACCAGCUUGUGGGUGGGGUAGUGGCUUACCAAGGCUUAGACGGGUAGCCGGCCUGAGAGCGUGGCCGCGGUCAUGGGUCCUACGGGAGGCCCCAGAGUCGAAGGGGGGACAGUGGGGGGAAGUAUUGUACAGCGGGGGGGAGCCUGAGGCAAAGGUCCUCGGAGUGUAAUGCACGCUUUGGUGUGGGAAACGGCUUUCAGUUAAUACGAAGCUGGAUUGACGGUAAUGGGUGAAGAAGCACCGGCUAACUUCGUG
rnacentral:rRNA from 1 species